CGCCAGCAGCCGCGGUAAUACGUAGGGGGCGAGCGUUGUCCGAAUUCACUGGGCGUAAAGCGCGCGUAGGCGGCUUGUUAAGUUGGAGGUGAAAUCCCGGGGCUCAACCCCGGAACUGCCCCCAAAACUGGCAGGCUUGAGGUAUGGAGAGGGAAGUGGAAUUCCAGGUGUAGCGGUGAAAUGCGUAGAUAUCUGGAGGAACACCCGUGGCGAAGGCGGCUUCCUGGUCAUAUCCUGACGCUGAGGUGCGAAAGCUAGGGGAGCGAACGGGAUUAGAUACCCCGGUAGUCCUAGCCGUAAACGAUGGAUACUAGGUGUUAGAGGUAUCGACCCCUCUAGUGCCGCAGCUAACGCAUUAAGUAUCCCGCCUGGGGAGUACGACCGCAAGGUUGAAACUUAAAGGAAUUGGCGGGGG
rnacentral:rRNA from 1 species